rnacentral:rRNA from 1 species
GCUGGCGGCGCGCUUAACACAUGCAAGUCGAGCGAGAACCGGGGCUUCGGCCCCGGGGAAAGCGGCGAACGGGUGAGUAACACGUGAGUCAUCCACCCUCGGCACCGGGAUAGCCCGGGGAAACCCGGAUUAAUACCGGAUGGCCCGUCUGCCCUUCGGGGCGGCCGGAAAAGGUAGCUUCGGCCUCCGGCCGAGGACGAUCUCGCGGCGGAUUAGCUUGUUGGCGGGGUAACGGCCCACCAAGGCGACGAUCCGUAGCUGGUCUGAGAGGACGAUCAGCCACACUGGGACUGAGACACGGCCCAGACUCCUACGGGAGGCAGCAGUGGGGAAUCUUGCGCAAUGGGCGAAAGCCUGACGCAGCGACGCCGCGUGCGGGAAGAAGGCCUUCGGGUUGUAAACCGCUUUCAGGAGGGACGAAGCCACUCGGGUUAAUAGCCCAGAGGGUGACGGUACCUCCAGAAGAAGCCCCGGCUAACUACGUGCCAGCAGCCGCGGUAAUACGUAGGGGGCAAGCGUUGUCCGGAUUUAUUGGGCGUAAAGAGCGUGUAGGCGGCUAUGCAGGUCCGCUGUGAAAACUCGAGGCUCAACCUCGAGACGUCGGUGGAAACCGCAUGGCUAGAGUCCCGGAAGAGGAGAGUGGAAUUCC